AACGAACGCUGGCGGCAGGCUUAACACAUGCAAGUCGAACGCCCCGCAAGGGGAGUGGCAGACGGGUGAGUAACGCGUGGGAACAUACCCUUUCCUGCGGAAUAGCUCUGGGAAACUGGAAUUAAUACCGCAUACGCCCUACGGGGGAAAGAUUUAUCGGGGAAGGAUUAGCCCGCGUUGGAUUAGCUAGUUGGUGGGGUAAAGGCCUACCAAGGCGACGAUCCAUAGCUGUCUGAGAGGAUGAUCAGCCACAUUGGGACUGAGACACGGCCCAAACUCCUACGGGAGGCAGCAGUGGGGAAUAUUGGACAAUGGGCGCAAGCCUGAUCCAGCCAUGCCGCGUGAGUGAUGAAGGCCUUAGGGUUGUAAAGCUCUUUCGUCCGGGACGAUAAUGACGGUACCGGAAGAAGAAGCCCCGGCUAACUUCGUGCCAGCCGCCGCCGUAAGAC
rnacentral:rRNA from 1 species